GAUGAACGCUGGCGGCGUGCCUAAUACAUGCAAGUCGAGCGAACGGACGAGAAGCUUGCUUCUCUGAUGUUAGCGGCGGACGGGUGAGUAACACGUGGAUAACCUACCUAUAAGACUGGGAUAACUUCGGGAAACCGGAGCUAAUACCGGAUGAUAUUUUGAACCGCAUGGUUCAAAAGUGAAAGACGGUCUUGCUGUCACUUAUAGAUGGAUCCGCGCUGCAUUAGCUAGUUGGUAAGGUAACGGCUUACCAAGGCAACGAUGCAUAGCCGACCUGAGGGGGGGAUGGCCCACUCUGAAAGUGAGACGCGGUCCAGGCCCCGAGGGGAGGCAGCGGGAGGGAAGCUACGGAAAGGGGCGAAAGCCUGACGGAGCAACGGCGGGGGGGUGAAGAAGGUCUGCGGGUGGUAAAACUCUGUUAUUGGGGAAAAAAAUUUUUGUAAGUAACGGUGCACCACUGAAGGGAACCAAAAAAGAAAGCCCGGGUUAAUAAGGG
rnacentral:rRNA from 1 species